rnacentral:rRNA from 1 species
UACGGAAGGUCCGGGCGUUAUCCGGAUUUAUUGGGUUUAAAGGGAGCGUAGGCCGGAGAUUAAGCGUGUUGUGAAAUGUAGACGCUCAACGUCUGCACUGCAGCGCGAACUGGUUUCCUUGAGUACGCACAAAGUGGGCGGAAUUCGUGGUGUAGCGGUGAAAUGCUUAGAUAUCACGAAGAACUCCGAUUGCGAAGGCAGCUCACUGGAGCGCAACUGACGCUGAAGCUCGAAAGUGCGGGUAUCGAACAGGAUUAGAAACCCCAGUAGUCGGCGAUGACU